rnacentral:pre_miRNA from 1 species
AAGAGAGCUCAUCAUGAACAGUGUGAACAUACCAACUGUCAUGGAGCUGCUCUCUUUA